CCGUCCGUAUGUCACAGCCACUUUUUUCCGAAACUAUAAGAACAAUACUGUUGAAACUUGGUAAGUAGAUGUAUUCUGUGAACCGCAUUAAGAUUUUCACACAAGAAUAGAAAAAAAAAAUGUUUUUUGGGGGUUCCCCAUACUUAGAACUGAAAAUCAAAAAAAUUUUUUUCAUCAAACCCAUACGUGAGGGGGUAUCUAUGGAUAGGUCUUCAAAAAUGAUAUUGAGGUUUCUAAUAUCAUUUUUUCCUAAACUGAAUAGUUUGCGCGAGAGACACUUCCAAAGUGGUAAAAUGUGUCCCCCCCCCCCCUGUAACUUCUAAAAUAAGAGAAUGAUAAAACUAAAACAAAUAUAUGAUAUACAUUACCAUGCAAAUUUCCACCGAAAAUUGGUUUGAACGAGAUCUAGUAAGUAGUUUUUUUUAAUACCUACGUCAUAAA